rnacentral:rRNA from 1 species
UACGUAGGGUGCGAGCGUUGUCCGGAAUUAUUGGGCGUAAAGAGCUCGUAGGCGGUUUGUCACGUCUGCUGUGAAAUCCCGAGGCUCAACCUCGGGCCUGCAGUGGGUACGGGCAGACUGGAGUGCGGUAGGGGAGAAUGGAAUUCCUGGUGUAGCGGUGGAAUGCGCAGAUAUCAGGAGGAACACCGGUGGCGAAGGCGGCGAUCUGGACAGAUAUUGACGCUGAGGUGCGAAAGCGUGGGGAGCGAACAGG